UACGUAGGGCGCAAGCGUUGUCCGGAAUUAUUGGGCGUAAAGAGCUCGUAGGCGGCCUGUUGCGUCCGCUGUGAAAUCCCGGGGCUCAACCCCGGGGCCUGCAGUGGAUACGGGCUGGCUGGAGGCAGGCAGGGGAGAACGGAAUCCUGGUGUAGCGGUGAAAUGCGCAGAUAUCAGGAGGAACACCGGUGGCGAAGGCGGGUUCUCUGGGCCUGUACUGACGUGAGGAGCGAAAAGCGUGGGGGAGCGAACAGG
rnacentral:rRNA from 1 species